GCUGUUCCAGAGCAGAGCGAUGCCAAGCAACCCAUGGACCAUGAAAGGUCUGUCUUCUGUCUUCCACUUAAAAAUACACAGAUGCCACAGUGAGCUUGAGUAAAAAAAAUCAUGUCAGAUUAGAGUAGAACUGUAUUUAUUCGAGUAGAAAAUAAGGGUAUUCUGCACCUCCUUGUUUAUUCCUCCCCUAUGAAGACAGGCUGAGAGAGCUGGGGUUGUUCAGCCUGGAGAAGAGAAGGCUCCGGGGAGACCUUAGAGCCCCUUCCAAUAUCUGAAGGGGCUACAGGAGAGCUGGGGAGGGACUCUUUGUCAGGGGGUGCAGUGACAGGACAAGGGGGAACGGCUUUAAAUUAGAAGAGGGGAGAUUUAGAUCAAAUACCAGAAAGAAAUUCUUUCCUGCGGGUGGUGAGAGCCUGGAACAGGUUGCCCAGAGAAGCUGUGGCUGCUCCAUCCCUGGAGGGGUUCAAGGCCAGGCUGGAUGGGGCUUUGAGCAACCUGGUGUGGUGGGAGGUGUCCCUGCCCAGGGCAGGGGGUUGGAACUUGAUGAUCUUUAAGGUCCCUUCCAACUCUACCCAUUCUAUGAUUCCAAUUAUUUAUUGAUACUGAGCUGAGUAUUACUGCAUUGUGUUCAGACGAGGGGUAGAAACGCAUGUUUUAGCAAAGUGAGGGAGGUUUGUGCCUGGAGCUCGGCAGCCCGAGGCAGGUUUCCAUCCCUCUUGGGACGGUUUCUCUGUGCCGGGGAGGCUGGAGGGGCCCAACUUGAUUUUUGAGCUUCCCUGGAGAGACUCAACACACGUCCUCAACGGUGCUUCUCCGCAGCAGCCACCGCUGCCCCGUCUGCGAGGACUGGCUGCGCGCACACCUCAGCCCCUGGGAAAGGGGUCCUGCAGCGCCCGGGGAGCAGCUGGGGGGUCCCCACCAGCAGGACGAGGGCCCGCAGGGUCCCGUCUGCCCCCCCUGCGCCGACCGCCUGCACCUCUCCCUUGUCCACAGCGACUCGGGGCGCUCCCCGGUCUGUCCCCUGGCCGGGGAGGGGACCCUGGCUCACCUCAUCCCCCGCCGCACCCCCGGCUGCCACCUCUGCCCCAUCUGCACGGUGCCCACCCACUCACACCUCUGCCAGCACCAGCACCAGGCACCCGACGGUAGGGACCUGCGUGGGGACACCCCAAAAUGCCCUUCAGGUCACCAAGGUGACCUGGGGGACCAAGAUGCCACCAGCCAGUGGCUGCAAAGGGCACGUGGCAUCUAACCCUAAUUAACUGCCCGUUUUUCCCUGUUGCAGGAUAAAUGCCGCCGGUGGUUGGAGGGAAGGGGGAGUUCCCACACUAACGCCCGACGCUGUCGGGAAUGAGGCUUUAAGUGCAAUAAGGCAACCCUGGAGUCAAGUGUCUGACUUCACAACCGGGAAUUUCUCUGUAAAGAAGCAGGAAAAUCAAACAUAUUUCAAAGCCAGCUCUGUGCUGGUUAAAUGCUUAGUUUUCUUUUUGUUUAUUUUAGUAUGAAAAAAAAAUCUAUUUUUGCAGCUCUUGAAGUGGGGCUUCUAAAAUCCAGUAAACGUUUCUUUCCACUAGAAAAUAAUUUCAUAGGAAACACCCUACUUGUACACACUCUUGCAAGAUUUACUUGUAUUUUUUAAAACUACUUUUCUACUGAGGUUCAUUUCCUAGUGUGCAGAUACGAGUGUGAAAAUGACAAUAUUUACAGCAAAACUCUUUUGUAAAUAAAAGGAAUAUCAAAUAAGCA
ensembl:lncRNA